CAGUCGCCGCGGGAAUACGUAGGGUGCGAGCGUUAAUCGGAAUUACUGGGCGUAAAGCGUGCGCAGGCGGUUCGUUAAGACAGAUGUGAAAUCCCCGGGCUCAACCUGGGACCUGCAUUUGUGACUGUAUAGCUAGAGUACGGUAGAGGGGGAUGGAAUUCCGCGUGUAGCAGUGAAAUGCGUAGAUAUGCGGAGGAACACCGAUGGCGAAGGCAAUCCCCUGGACCUGUACUGACGCUCAUGCACGAAAGCGUGGGGAGCAAACAGGAUUAGAUACCCGUGUAGUCCCUGUCUCUUAUAC
rnacentral:rRNA from 1 species